GGCCCACCAAGCCAAUGACGGGUAGCCGGUCUAAGAGGACGAACGGCCACACUGGAACUGAGAGACGGUCCAGACUCCUACGGGAGGCAGCAGUGGGGAAUCUUGCACAAUGGGCGAAAGCCUGAUGCAGCGACGCCGCGUGAAGGAUGAAGGCCUUCGGGUUGUAAACUUCUUUUGCAGGGGAAGAUAAUGACGGUACCCUGCGAAUAAGCCACGGCUAACUCUGUGCCAGCAGCCGCGGUAAGACAGAGGUGGCGAGCGUUGUUCGGAAUUACUGGGCUUAAAGGGCGCGUAGGCGGUGAAACAAGUCUGGGGUGGAAGCCCACAGCUUAACUGUGGGACUGCCCUGGAAACUGUAUUGCUUGAGUCGGACAGGGGAAGGCGGAAUUCCGGGUGUAGCGGUGAAAUGCGUAGAUAUCUGGAGGAAGGCCUGUGGUGAAGACGGCCUUCUGGGUCUUGACUGACGCUGAGGCGCGAAAGCGUGGGUAGCAAACAGGAUUAGAUACCCUGGUAGUCCACGCCCUAAACGGUGGGUACUAGGUGUGGGGCCCGUACGGGUUCUGUGCCGAAGGGAAACCAUUAAGUACCCCGCCUGGGGAGUACGGCCGCAAGGU
rnacentral:rRNA from 1 species